AGUAGGGAAUAUUGCACAAUGAAGGAAACUCUGAUGCAGCGACGCCGCGUGAGUGACGAAGGCCUUCGGGUUGUAAAGCUCUGUUCUUAGGGAAAAAGAAAGUGAUUGUACCUGAGGAGAAAGGACCGGCUAACUUCGUGCCAGCAGCCGCGGUAAGACGAGGGGUCCAAGCGUUGUUCGGAAUCAUUGGGCGUAAAGCGGGUGUAGGUGGCUCUGUAAGUCAGGAGUGAAAGCCCCGGGCUUAACUCGGGAAGUGCUUUUGAUACUGCAGAGCUUGAAUGUGGGAGAGGAUCGUGGAAUUCCAGGUGUAGUGGUGAAAUACGUAGAUAUCUGGAGGAACACCGGUGGCGAAGGCGGCGAUCUGGCCCAACAUUGACACUGAGACCCGAAAGCGUGGGGAUCAAACAGGAUUAGAUACCCUGGUAGUCCACGCCGUAAACGAUGGAUACUUGGUGUUGGAGGUAUUGACCCCUUCAGUGCCGAAGCUAACGCGUUAAGUAUCCCGCCUGGGGAGUACGGCCGCAAGGUUAAAACUCAAAG
rnacentral:rRNA from 1 species